ACAAUAUGUAUUUUCAAAGAAAAAAAUUAGGUUGACAGUAGUUGUAAUUAAUUAAUUAAUGAUAAAUUUAAGUAAUAAACAUAUUUGAAAACAACAUUGAAUUGACACAUGUGAAAUACCUGGUUGAAACAAAGUGCCAAAGUAAGGAAAGUAGAAAGAAACUUCGGAGGCACAAAAAAACAUCUCUCUCAACUGAUCAACCACAUGAAUCACAACAAACUUCCCAUCUAUUUAUAUAUAUAUAAUUGGAUUUGAAGGUUACCAAAUCCAAAUCCAAAUCCCAAUCCCAAAGAUUUACUUCUGGUUUCGGCUACCAAUUUCUAUCAAAAACCUUUUCUUUCGGAUAUCUGUUCAAGUUAUUUACAGAAAAUAAUAUAUAUUUCCAUAUAAUUGUAGAUAUUUGAAAUGUGUACAUUGAGGGGUCAAGAGCUUUUCAAGGUAUAAAGGGCUACACAUAUCUCUAAUUGAUUAAAUUUUGUUGUUUUCAUAUACUCAUCAUGAUAUAUAGAUAUAUAUACUACAUACAAAUUAAUAUGAUAGAAACCCAUACCUAUUAUUCUGAGCAAACUCAUGUGAUAUCAUUUCAAAAAUAAUUACGCACACUGUUAUAUAUAUAUAUAUAGCCAUUCUGAAUAAGUAUAUAUAUAUAGAUUUUAUAUGAGUUGCGUAUCAAAAUUUCUUUUGGGUAUAAAUAUUAUAGUUUUGAAUUCUAGCACAUAUAUGCAUCUUCUAGGAAGCUUCGACCAUCAACUCAUAAAUUUAAAUUUAUUGAGAGAGUAUAUACAGUGUUGGUUCUUGUACGGAUAAUAUUAGACAAUAUAAUAUAAGUACUUAUCAACAAAUAUAUAACACACGUAUAUAUAUAUAUAAUAUAUGUAUAUUAGCCUACAACCAGACCAGUACGUACUGUUUCUAUAACAUGAUUUUUUGUUCUAAUAAGUGAUAUAUUAUGUGAAACAUGUGAUGUGUUUAAAUAUAUUAUUGCUAUUAGUUAAAAUAUAUAUUGGGAAUUUGGGACCAUUAUUAUGUAUCAGUGUACUCAUCGAGACAGAGUAGUAAAAUUAAAUUCAUCGAUCACGACAGUUUAAUUAUUAUUAUUUGCACAUAUAAUUUUACGUUUUUACAAAAAAUUAUGGUUAUUAUUUGGCAAUAUGCUUUAUUUUCCGAAUUACAAAAAUAUAUAAUGAAAGUACUAAUAAUUGGCACUCAUCAACAUCAGACUUAAUUUAUAAUUUUUUUAUUAAUAUGCACUUAAUUAUAUGUUAAACGUACGUGUCAUUUUGGGUUUAGGUUAUUAAGGUUUAACUUGUGAAUUUUAAUGUUUCUUAGAAUUUGGAAGUAUAAAGAGUGGAAAUAAUAAAUUGAGUUCCAUCUCAAAUCAAUUAGAAUGAAGAGGAUUACAUUUUCACACAUUAAAUUAAUGUGAGAAUCUCUAUCAUUCCUUCAAAAAUAGUAAUUAUUUUUUUUCACCAAUCUUAAAUGCGGCUCCAUUAUAAGUGGAACUUUUGGCUCACUAAAUCACAGAAGCAAAGGCUGUAUUUUUGACUCACGGUAGUUUUUUUUAGCUCGUCUUUUUAGGCUAGUUAUUGAAUUUAGAUGACUUACGUCUCAAAAUUAAUUGAUAAUAUUGAAAAAAAAAAAAUUACAUUUAUUAUUAAUGUAGAAUUUUUUUAACAGUGUGUAAACUAUUUUGAUCCGUACUUGUUUAUGAUAAAGUUAAACCCACUAAUUCUGUACCACUUUUAAACCGUUUUAUGGUGUCAUAAUUUAUAUUUUCAUAUUUAUUUUUGCAUCAAUAACCUUAUGCAUUUGAAUAAUGUAGCAUUUGUGUAUAUAUAUAGUCUUUUUUUCUUAAUAACUAUGUACGUAUACCGGGUUUUUAAAAUAUAUACUAGCUCGUGAUUUGACAAUUUAACCCAUUAAUAUACAUACGCAAUCUCUGAUAUACAUAUAUAGUAUUAUAUAGUUACGUACAUAUAUAUAUAUAUGCAUUAUUGUACUUAAUUACUGCAAGAUACAUGAUAUCACUAUAUCACAUAACGUACACUUCGCAAUGUACGUAAUAUAUAAAAACUUAUAUAUAUUCACACACAUAUAUAUAUUAUACGACCUAUUAAUAUAUAAACUCUAGCUUAUGAUAUAAAUAUAAUUAUUAUUUAACUGCAUCUAAUUAUAUGUAAUGUAUACAAUCUCGGUAGCUCUUUGGAUUUUACUAAGGGGAGAUUUUUCACUAGAUAUUACUAGAGCUUUUAUAUACCAUAUAUAAUAUUAUAUGAUUGAUUCGGAUGACUAUGAUUCUAUUUCUAUUCCUUUUGGGAAUUGUAUUGUCUACUUCGCUCGUUCCUAAAUUAUUAUUUGGAUGUAUAUAAACAUAUAUGUAGCCCUAGUUUGGAUGAUAUGUAUGUAUUUGUGUAUUUGUAUAGUAUGGUAUAUAUAUAGGGUUGCGCCGAAAUACGAAAGGGGUGUAAUUUCGAGGAAGGUUCGUAUAUUAAUGAAAUAAUUAGAAGACCGACACGAAGGAAAGAUGGCCCAUUGUUUGUUUUGGCCACAUGUAAUUAAGCCAAAGAUUUAUAUACAAUAUUUACAAAAUUUGGACCCCUACGUCUAAGUACGUUCUAUACUACUAAUUAUAUAUAUAUAUAUACUACUUCAUUCAGUAAUUUUUUGUCUCCAUAUUAUCAUCGCAUGUGCUUCCACAUCUUCAUAUCAAUCACCUCUAUAAAUCUAUGUAUCUAUAUGUAUAUAUAUU